CCUGCGGAAGGAUCAUA
rnacentral:rRNA from 1 species